CUGGCUGGGCAGAUGAUAGAACAAAAGGGCAGCAGACAACGUGAGCAGAGGCAGCCAAGUUUCCUGCCCAGGCAAACAGAGAGGAUAACAGGAGAGGGGGAAGGAGAGAAAAGAAAAUGGAGGAAGAGCUCUGCAUUGAACUGAUUUAAGCGUAAAACCUACUGAAAUCGCUCUUGCUGGGGAAGCAUAAGCUAAAACAAAAGCAACAACAAUAUAAACCUGCUACAGUUGUGGUAAGUAGAUUGUGGAGCUGUAUUUUUGCUACUUCAAAGGAUACCAUAGAUGAGAGGAUUUCUGUUAAAGUAAAACAAGUCCUAUGGACAAAAAUUGUGUUAUUCCUCACUCUUGUUAUCAGUUUACUCACUCAUUGUAAACUCUUCACCAGACUUUAGAUAUCUCUCAUAUUAAAAUCUCUGAUACUUAAAUAAAAGGCUAUAUUUUUGAGGCA
rnacentral:lncRNA from 1 species